rnacentral:tRNA from 1 species
GGCUCGGUAGCUUAGUUGGUAAACUUCUCGUCUUGCAUACAAGGGUCGUGGGUUCGAAUCCCAUCUGAGCGC